rnacentral:lncRNA from 1 species
UCGCUUAUGUUGGAGAAAGAAUUGGGAGUCAAGUGAAGAAAAGGAAGAUAUCAUGUGUUGUUAGUGCCUCAAAUGAGGGAAAGAAAUUGUACUCUAACUUCCAGAAGAAGCCAGGAGGCGAGGCCAAUGCCAUAAUGGGAGGAGGUAAAAUAUAUCUCAGUAGCAUAUUCCCGUACUUUACCACCAAAUUACUGCCAUAGCACCUGCACCCUAUCCACAUCAAAAACCAUGUCAACAAUCGGCUUACUAAUAACAAAAGUCGUAUCAGCAUCAAGGGUAUCAACACCAAC